UGAGUAACACGUAUCCAACCUGCCGUCUACUCUUGGACAGCCUUCUGAAAGGAAGAUUAAUACAAGAUGGCAUCAUGAGUUCACAUGUUCACAUGAUUAAAGGUAUUCCGGUAGACGAUGGGGAUGCGUUCCAUUAGAUAGUAGGCGGGGUAACGGCCCACCUAGUCUUCGAUGGAUAGGGGUUCUGAGAGGAAGGUCCCCCACAUUGGAACUGAGACACGGUCCAG
rnacentral:rRNA from 1 species